rnacentral:rRNA from 1 species
AUGGCGACCGGCGCACGGUGAGUAACGCGUAUGCAACUUACCUAUCAGAGGGGGAUAGCCCGGCGAAAGUCGGAUUAAUACCCCAUAAAACAGGGGUCCCGCAUGGGAAUAUUUGUUAAAGAUUCAUCGCUGAUAGAUAGGCAUGCGUUCCAUUAGGCAGUUGGCGGGGUAACGGCCCACCAAACCGACGAUGGAUAGGGGUUCUGAGAGGAAGGUCCCCCACAUUGGUACUGAGACACGGACCAA